rnacentral:rRNA from 1 species
GAUGAACGCUAGCGAUAGGCCUAACACAUGCAAGUCGAGGGGCAGCACAUGAAGUAGCAAUACAGAUGGUGGCGACCGGCGCACGGGUGAGUAACACGUAUGCAACCUACCUUCCACAGGAGAAUAACCCGUUGAAAAACGGACUAAUACUCCAUAAUACAGGGGUCCCGCAUGGGAAUAUUUGUUAAAGAUUUUUUUCGGUAGAAGAUGGGCAUGCGUUCCAUUAGCUAGUUGGUUGAGGUAACGGCUCACCAAGGCAACGAUGGAUAGGGGAACUGAGAGGUUUAUCCCCCACACUGGUACUGAGACACGGACCAGACUCCUACGGGAGGCAGCAGUGAGGAAUAUUGGUCAAUGGAGGCAACUCUGAACCAGCCACGUCGCGUGAAGGAUGACGGCCCUACGGGUUGUAAACUUCUUUUAUACAGGAAUAAAGUGAGUCACGUGUGACUUUUUGUCAUGUACUGUAUGAAUAAGGAUCGGCUAACUCCGUGCCAGCAGCCGAC